UACCAGCACCCCGAGUGGUCGGGACGUUUAUUGGGCCUAAAGCAUCCGUAGCCGGUUCUACAAGUCUUCCGUUAAAUCCACCUGCUUAACAGAUGGGCUGCGGAAGAUACUAUAAAGCUAGGAGGCGGGAGAGGCAAGCGGUACUCGAUGGGUAGGGGUAAAAUCCGUUGAUCCAUUGAAGACCACCAGUGGCGAAGGCGGCUUGCCAGAACGCGCUCGACGGUGAGGGAUGAAAGCUGGGGGAGCAAACCGG
rnacentral:rRNA from 1 species